rnacentral:lncRNA from 1 species
CUUGCUCCUGUUGGGUUGUUGUUACAACGCUGAUAUGAGCCUUGCAUAACUGUUAUCCAAGAUGUUUCACCCAGCAACUGAUGGAAACUGAUGCAGAGACUCACAACCAAACGUUAAGUGGAGCUUGGGAAUCCUGUGGAAGAGGAGGAUGAAGGAUUGAAGGAGCCAGAGGGCUCAAGAACACCUUAAGAAAACCCACAGAAUCAACUACUGCAGGCCCUUAGGGAUUCAUAAAGACUGAAGUUUGAACUAGAGAGCAUGCAUGGGACAAAUCUAGGCCCUCUGCAUAUAUGUAGCAG